GGUUGCUCAAAUUGUAGAGCGCUCGCUUUACAUGCGAGACGCACAGGGUUCGAUCCCCCGCAUCCCCA